rnacentral:tRNA from 1 species
GGCCGGAUGGUGUAGUUGGUUAUCACGUGUCCUUAACAAUCUCUUGAGAUCGAAUCGGACAAGGUCGAGAGUUCGAGCCUCUCUUUGGUCA